AGGUUUAUUCUGAGACUGAACAACAGGUGCAUGAUUUGGUCAGCUGUGCAGCAGGAAAUGGGUCAAAGGAGGUUUUUUCUGAGACUGAACAACAGGUGCAUGCUUUGGUCAGCUGUGCAGCAGGAGAUGGGUCAAAGGAGAUCUCAACAACGUCUGAUUCUCAGCUGACAUGUCAUGACAACACUCAACAGGU